rnacentral:rRNA from 1 species
UACGUAGGGUGCGAGCGUUGUCCGGAAUUAUUGGGCGUAAAGAGCUCGUAGGCGGUCUGUUACGUCUGCUGUGAAACCCCGGGGCUCAACCCCGGGCCUGCAGUGGAUACGGGCAGACUAGAGUCCGGCAGGGGAGACUGGAAUUCCUGGUGUAGCGGUGAAAUGCGCAGAUAUCAGGAGGAACACCGGUGGCGAAGGCGGGUCUCUGGGCCGGAACUGACGCUGAGGAGCGAAAGCGUGGGGAGCGAACAGG